CAGCAGCCGCGGUAAUACGUAGGGUGCAAGCGUUAAUCGGAAUUACUGGGCGUAAAGCGUGCGCAGGCGGUUAUAUAAGACAGAUGUGAAAUCCCCGGGCUCAACAUGGGAACUGCAUUUGUGACUGUAUAGCUAGAGUACGGCAGAGGGGGAUGGAAUUCCGCGUGUAGCAGUGAAAUGCGUAGAUAUGCGGAGGAACACCGAUGGCGAAGGCAAUCCCCUGGGCCUGUACUGACGCUCAUGCACGAAAGCGUGGGGAGCAAACAGGAUUAGAUACCCCAGUAGUCCCUGUCUCUUAUAC
rnacentral:rRNA from 1 species